rnacentral:lncRNA from 1 species
AGGGCAUUAAUAUUUAAUCACACCUCUGAUUGCAUACAAAGGCAAUUCGAGGGCAUAUUUUCACCUUAAGGUCUAGUAAUUUAAUAACACUUAUUGAACCUGCAUUUGUAUUAGACCUCACUCUGUUUUAAUACCAUGUUGCUUUAUAUAGGGUCCAUUUUUAAUGGGGACCAAAUAGUCUAUUUUUUGGUUCUGUGCUUUCUUCUACAAACCACAGGGCAUGAAGGUGCUUAAUCGGUGCCCUUUGAUGAAGAACAACAGAGCCAGAAAAAGCGUUUCUAUCAGACAACGAAAACCACCUGAUUGAAAUCUUCUCUCUGUUGACAAUGGUGUCACCGCAAGGAUUACCCUCACCCUUUAUCGCCGAUAUCAGAGAAUAUGCUGCAGAGAAUUCCCGCGUGUUCAGAAGGCAGCUCUGAGGCAAACCCUUCAUCUGAAAUGUCAGGAGUACGUUCUGCCUCCUCAAGUGCCAACCUCGCUAGUCGUGGAGUUCGAGUCCGAAAAACCCAACAGAUGACACAUCAGGCGCCCUGUUUCCCUGAGUCACACCCAAGAGCAGGAUGCACCUGAUGACUUUUAUCUUACGCGGCGCGGAGGGGUGCGGGCGCCCGCAGGCCCACCUGUGAUGCCGUCCGCUGAGGUUCUCCUCACUCAUUUAAGAGACGGCACGGAUGUUGGAGAACACCUCACGGAUGUGUUAUUUUCAAGUCCACAGUCCUCUCCCAUGUAACGUUUUCUCCAUGACCCCCAUGUGCACAGGGAGGAAACUGCAGUCCUCACGAGUCCCGCGUCAGUGAACUAGACGGGAGAAACCUUUCACACGCACACACGCAUCAAAUCACCACGAGGCACACUUUAAACGCCUUUCGAUCGUGUGCGUCCAUCAUACUCAAUAAAGCGGAGGUUUUAAAAUCUGUGACUAUGCCUUCAUCUGCGCCUAUGUACUUAUUAAAAAUAAGGUGAAAUUAUCUACAUUCAAUAGGAAAACGGCAAAAUUCAUAUACAGACACAGAUAACACACACGUGUGCAUGCACACACACACGUAUAGAAAGUGUAUACGGAAUAGAAAAAGGGGCCAACCCUCCAAUUAAACAUCUAGUUCUAGAAAUACCUAUUUUUAAAAAAAGAUCUCCCCAAAAGCAGUGUGUAGACCCUCCGGCGGCCGUCAGCGUGGUGCCUGCGGCCCCGGGCCCGCCCGGCCUCACAGUGCCCGCGCCCGAGACGCACACACGGCCCAGCCUCACGGUCUGACCGCGGCAAUCGAUCGUGGCAAAGUCGUUGGGCAGCGGCGCCGGC